rnacentral:rRNA from 1 species
AGAGUUUGAUCAUGGCUCAGAACGAACGCUGGCGGCGUGCUUAACACAUGCAAGUCGAGUGCGCGCCUGUAGCAAUACAGGUGGCGCACGGCGCACGGGUGCGUAACACGUGGGUAACCUGCCCUUUAGUGGGGAAUAACCUCGCGAAAGCGAGGCUAAUUCCGCAUAAGAUCCGCAAGGAUGAAAGCCGAAAGGCGCUGAUGGAGGGGCCCGCGCACGAUUAGCUAGUUGGUGAGGUAAUGGCUCACCAAGGCUUUGAUCGUUAGCUGGUCUGAGAGGAUGGCCAGCCACACUGGAACUGAGACACGGUCCAGACUCCUACGGGAGGCAGCAGUGGGGAAUCUUGCACAAUGGGCGAAAGCCUGAUGCAGCGACGCCGCGUGGGGGAUGAAGCUUCUCGGAGUGUAAACCCCUUUCGAUCCGGACGAAACCCCGCAAGGGAUUGACGGUACGGAUAUAAGAAGCCCCGGCUAACUACGUGCCAGCAGCCGCGGUAAUACGUAGGGGGCCAGCGUUGUUCGGAAUUACUGGGUGUAAAGGGUUCGUAGGCGGUGCGGCAAGUUGGGAGUGAAAUCUCUGGGCUUAACCCAGAGACGGCUUCCAAAACUGCUGUGCUUGAGUGUGGGAGAGGCUCGUGGAAUUGCAGGUGUAGCGGUGAAAUGCGUAGAUAUCUGCAGGAACACCCGUGGCGAAAGCGGCGAGCUGGACCACUACUGACGCUGAAGAACGAAAGCUAGGGGAGCAAACAGGAUUAGAUACCCUAGUAGUCC